rnacentral:lncRNA from 1 species
CCUUCGCGUAACGAUGCUAAGCCAGUUGGUAGCUGUCCUAUAUGGAGGCGCGUCCUCAGCACGGUGGCGCCCUUCCACACCUCGGUUUCUUUCUCCUUGGGCAACGGAAAAGGGGGGGUCUUUCUGGAAUUCUAGAUGGUGCGGAGACUUCUUCCUCAAACAUAUCCUGCCACACUUUUAUGCGGCAUCGAACUCUAAACAUCUCUCGGUCGCAAACUGGAUCAGACGCUUCGCAACACGCUCCAAUUUG